rnacentral:lncRNA from 1 species
AGGCGGCAGCCAGGAUCCGCUCCGUCACGUAAGUGAGGUCCAAGUCCCAGCGGCGCUCCAUAAGCGGGUCCAGGCUGAAGCUCCUGGGGAGGGGGCAAAGCCUGCGUCAGGCACGAGGGCGAGGCUCCGGGGGCAGAUGGGAGGGGAGGGCGAGGCCUCGGGGUCCCGAGGGUAGGUGGGGCCGCUCGGGGGCGGGGUGGGGGGCUGCCUAGGAGAGCUUUGCCGGGACGGGGGGGUGCGGCGCUGCGCCGGGCUGAGGUAUGGGACCACCCCGGCGCCCUCACUUACCUGGGCAGAGUGUUGCGCUGCUUUGAGUGGUUUAGAGACUUGGUGGAUCCCUGGUGGAUGAGAUGAGACGGUGCACAUCUCUUUGGGUGCCCCCCACUCUAGGCUCCCCGCUCCAGAGUCCCGUGAACUUUCGUUCUCGCAAGAUACCUAGGUCCGUACUCCCAGAGCUACCUGCUUCCGCCCCCUCCGCCAGCAUCACUUACCAGGUGCUCUAUGCGCCUCACGGGGGCCGUGUUUCUCCGCUAGAGGGAGACGGAGGCGGAAAAGGGGGCGGUUAGGGCGGGGGUAGGGACCAGUCUGCGCCUGGGGAUGGUGGAGAGGGCACGCGGGGCUUCCUGUGGGGGCUGCACCGGGCCAAGGGAGAGGAGUCCUAACCCCCAGCAGGCCCAAGGGCAAGAAGAUCAGAGGGCUCAUUUUUUUCCUGUCCCUCAGGAUGACCGGCACCCACAGCAGUCCAUUCAAGCUAACCUCCUGGGGGCCCUCUCUGUGGCCACCAGACCUUUGGACACCUCAGCCAGGUUCCUUGCCACUCCCACCCCAUCUCAGAGCACACUCACCAGCUCCGCCGGAGGCAAAGCCUGACAGGACGAAGUCACCUGGAAGGAGACCCGAGUGAGGGGCUGAGCUCCUGCUGAAAUGGGGUCUCCUGGGCUUGACGAUGGGGCUACCCCUCAGCUUCAGCAAGAAGGUGGAGGGGCUGUCAGCAGAUGGGCACACACUCCAGCUGAGGUUCCUCUAUUUAAGGGAGCCUCCCCUCUGGCCUCUCUGGUCCCCCACCCCUAGGCCCCCCACUUGUUGCUCUUGGCUCCCAGCCCCCUGCCCACACAGACCCCCAUUCAUCCAGCUGCGGGGCAGGAGUUAUAUAUAGAGCCAUGUAGGCAGGCCAUGGCCAGGGACGGACACUGGCCUCUUUCACCGGGAGACCCCGCCCCUGGGCACACAGCUCCCCCAGGCCAACUCCAAGGCCCUGGGACCCCCCGCACUGCAGGAGGAGGACGAGGGAACCUCCUCAGAGAUGGGGCUGCCUCAGGUCCCCAGUGGACAGUGGUGCUAUCUACAGCUUGUACCUUCCGCCCGGCCUUUCCAGGGCCCAGGACGAGACCCACCCAGGCAUCCUGAGGACCCUUCCCCAGAGGGAAGGCACAGCCCAUCCGGCUACCCAGUCUUUGAAAUCCUGCUCCCCCACCCACCCACCCCACCCUUCCUCGUCCUCAUUCUCCUCCUCUUCCCCACCCCCAUCCUCUCGCCAGCUGCAGCCUGGGCACAGCACCAAGACAAACCCUGUCUCCUGUCCACCCGCCUGGGCCAGCCCUCCAGGGGGUGGAGUAGGGUGGUUCUUAAAGGGCCCAGUACAGCACCCUCUCCCACUCCGGCAGGGGUUCCCCCAUGAUGAGAGGGGCUGCGGUUGAUGCCGAUGUGGCUGGAGAAGCCUGUUUCAGAGGAAGAGACUCUAGUCCUCCUCCCCCAGUCAAGUACCCACCUUUGCUUCACAUUUUCUGUGUGUUGCCACCUUGCAAACUAGAGAGGGAUGGUGGGGAGAAGAGAGGGGUUAGCAGGCACAUACUGGGGUAGCCCUCCCCCAUCUCCCCAGGCCCUGGAACCAGAUCCUGGGACUUCCAAGACUGUUGAGAUGGAAUGGGGGAGCAGGGGCAGAGUUCAAGGGAAGUGUCAGGCAGUGGGGUAGUACGCUCAGUCCAGGGAGGGAGGGGGCAAGGGCUAAUGUUCCAGGGUGACUGGGGGUGAGGGGGGAGGGAGGGAAGUCCCCAUCACAGGUCCACUGGGGAGGCAAUGGAGAGGACUGGGUCUCCUUGGUUGGGGCGGGAGUGUCCGUCAUGGGGACAAGGGCUGUUUGGAGGGGAGGCAGCUCCCCGUGACGGAUACCCUCUUGGUUCCCAUGCUGUCCAGGGGGCAGCGUGCACAUUACGGUUUAAACUCUUUGUGAGUCUACCCGCUGGAGUUGUGCACACAAUGGUGCUGGGUUAGAGGCUCUCAGGGUCACAGGACAGGCACCUCACCUCUGCAUGAGACUCCAGUUCCAUCGAUGGUCACCUUACACACUGCACAGACUGGUGGUUUCUUCCGGAAGACCUUCUCCCGGAAGCUGUGUGGCUCGGCUUUCCUAGGCUAGGAACGGAAGGACACACAGGCAGAAGUGUCAGUUCUCAGUGGACCCAUCUCUGGGACUAGCUGGGGUCUUAGCACUACCCUGGUUUCUUUCUCCUCCAUCCUGAUAAAGCCCCUAAACUCCUAAGACACACUUGGUCACAGCUGUUUCUUGGCUUUUAUGGGGCCUGUCCUUGAUGGUGUGUGGAAUCUGCCCCCUUGCAUCACCCCAGACGGGUCACCCCCUCUCUGAGGGUCACUCGGGACCCUCGUAUGGUGUGUGAAACCCUCGCGGUCACUGCCACACCAGGUGCUAGAGCUUUCCUCCUGAUCUGGGAGGUGGGAGAGUGCUCUCUUACUUUCUUCUAUGAGGGUUCCCCAUUUCUCCUCCCAUUUUGCCUUCCCCAGAUGGAGGUCCCUGUGGAGAGUGAGCAGGAGGGGGUCCAGAAAUGAACGUAGAAUGUCAGUCACGCAGCACCCAGACUGACCUGGCGGGGAGUGGCCUGAGCCAGUCCUACUCCCCUGGCUCCCGCUGUCCCCGUGCUCCAGACAGCUGACAUGCCCUCCUCCCCCUACUGUCAGAACAACAUGUUUACUCAUUGUGCAUUGAGGCGGCAGGCAGCAAUUGUGUAAGGAGGGGGUGGUAAUGCUGGAGAGACAGGCAGACAGAGGCAUGACAUUGGGGGAAAUGUUCAGCUGCCUUGCUACUUCUGGAUAUAGUGAGCACCCUGUCACUUGAGGUUCAAGUGGGAUUCCAGCAUGGAAUGGGGGAAGGGGUGGGCUAGAUGCCCUGUUGGGCCUCUCCCCACCCAGAGUGCAGUGAGGCAGGGAUGCCCCGUUAUGGCCCUCAUCCCCCUCCCUCCCACUGUGGGUUCACUCCACUCAUCUUCUGUCCAUAUGCCUCCUCUCCCUUCUACCCAUUUUUCUCUUCCCUCAAGUGUUCAAGCUCCCCCCCCCCCCCCAUAAUAUUAUCUCAUGUUGCCCUGAGCUACUUCUUUUGGGGUAUGGCUGAUAAAAUAUGGGGAAAUGGAGUCAUAGGCAUCCAGGCCCCCCAUCCUGGGGACCCAGGCAGCACUUUUGGUCUCUUGGCUGUCCCCCAAGAACCUGGAUUAAACCCAACCUGAACUCUUAUGGGCCAGCCUUGCUGGACCCGUUAGGAAACUUGGGUGCAUUCUGACAUUAACGGCAUGCACUGAUGAUGUCAGGGGAAAGUCCCAGUGUCUAAAGCACUUCUGAGACCUGGCUGCCCCUCUCCCUUCGCCACCUCCACCCCAUUUCUCCCAAACUUCUGAGCUCAGGGAAGGGGCCUGAUCUCGGCCCUGCCCUGGGGCUCCCCGGUAGUACCUGGAAAAGUCCUACAAUGAAGUAUACCUGAAUGCAGGUUUAGGGGGCCAGGAUCCCCAGGGUUGGCCUGAAUUAGAGCAGGGAAGUUGGAGGAGGGAAAGUGGACACCAGGUUCUGCUUUAAUCCAAACUUCUGCUGCUCACACCACAGCUCUGGCUAUUCCAAAGGGGCAUACUAGUGAGGGGAUUCGGGGCAAGGGGAAAAGGUUCUGGCCUGAGUCCUGGUCCCCUCCCCCACUGCCCACCCCUCCAUCCCUGCCCCUCCUCUGCCCAGCCAGCGGGCACUCCUACCCUGCUGGUGGCCCGGCUGCUGUCCCUCCUCCCCAGGGCUCUGAGCAGCCUCUCCACGGGGCCGCUGGACUUCAUGAUGUCCGGGCGGCUGGCUGGGGUGCCGACUGCGGGCCUGAACAAUGCUGGGGCCCGGCCCGGGGCUUCCUGGAAGCGGCCUGGCGGAGGCAGCCGCUUCCCCUGGGUGGAGGGUAGGCUGUCUGGCUGGUGUGAGGAGAAGCCCGGCCCUGGAAGUGGAGGGGAGUGCAGGCGGGAAAGGGGCAGGUCGCUGCUCCAGGAAGUGGGGGGGGGGGGGGGAGGGAGGAUGUGGGGGAGGCCAGGAGAUCAGAUUCCCAGGAUCUACCCUGCUGGGAGUGUCAGCCCAGGAUCUUUUGCCCCCCAGCCCCUUGCUGUGGAGCUGCCCCUUGCCCAGGGGAUCCACCCUAUCCAGGGAUCUGCAAGGAUCCUGAGAUCCAGCCCCCAGUGGAGUGGGGUGGGGGCAGGGUGGGAAUUUAGGUCUCCUGCAGGGCUCAAGGGCCAGUGGGGAACACUGUGUCCCAGGCCAGGUCAGGCCAGUCUCCCAGCCUGAACUCUCAGGUUCUCAGGGGACUUCUGGUGGGGAGGAAGGGGGAGCUGGGAAUCACUACCCCAGCCAGCUCAGAAUCGGGGUGCAUCCUGAGGGGCCGGGGAAAAUAGGACUGAGGGCCAGCUUCCUGCCUCAGUUUCACUGGUUGUGAAGUAUAGGAAAAGGAAAGCAUUCACUGCUUCUCUCCUGCCGCCCCCAUACGCACUGGAAGGCCUGCUUCCAGCCACAAGAUUGUUCUGCCCACAGGAGUGAGCCAUUCUCCUGCUCCAGCCCAAGGCAUUUGAGGCUCUUCUCCUGAGAGCACCCCACCCACUCUGCUCCUGACAGUCAUCCCCUCUGUCCCCCCAUUCCAUGGCUUGUUCGUGCUAGAACUCCCAGUCCCUAGCCCCUCUUUCCAGCCCUGCUGUGUAGGCCCUUCACCCAGACCCUAGGGCUGGGCCCUAUGCCCCCUGCCCCCCAAAGCCUGAGUACUACCUUCAUGGCUCUCCUAGCUCUGCUCUCCUUCCUCAGCAGCUGUCCCAGGUCCUAAGGACUGGACAGGGCCCCCCCCCCCCCCCCCCCCCCCCCCCCCCCCNNNNNNNNNNNNNNNNNNNNNNNNNNNNNNNNNNNNNNNNNNNNNNNNNNNNNNNNNNNNNNNNNNNNNNNNNNNNNNNNNNNNNNNNNNNNNNNNNNNNNNNNNNNNGGGGGGGGGGCAGUAAUCUUCCAAAAAUAAAUGGGGUUAAGGGCCAGGGGUCCUCAGCCCCAAGCCUUGGACAGCAGCCCUUUGACCAGCUGGAGCUGUCACUUGAAAGAACGCGCAAAUAUGCCUCCCCUCAUUUGCAUGGUAUUUACUGAAUGUACCGGUGCUCAGCCUUCUCCCACUUGGUCCUUAGACCUCCCUCUCCCUCCUUCAGGCCCAAGGGACUGGUCUAAUCCUGCCUUCUCUGGGAUGAGCCCCCUUAGGAGAGCCCACUCAGGACACUUCUUUGGACUUGCCUGGCAUGGGCCUGGCCUGAGGCUUUGCCCUUGAAGAUUUAAUUCUCCUUCCAAGUCAGGAAGUCUGUCCCCGGGGUACCUUGGCCAGAGGGAAGUAUCUCCGUGGCCAGGCUUGGGCCCCUAGCGUGUAACUGGAGAGGGGGCACUGACUCUGCAACCCACUCCUAUCCCACCAACCCUGGCUGGGUCCCAGGACAUUCCAGGCCCCUGGCCAGUGUGGGCAACUGGGCCUGGCCUGGUCCAGUUCAGAGCCUUGCUGUAGGAGAAGCACUAUGGUGGGUGUGUGGGUUGGGGUGCCUUUUCUCUGCCCCUUCAUGCCCCUUCAGCAUGCUUCUUUCUACACCUGCUGCCUCCACAGGGGCCGAAAAGUCCCCUCACCUGGUAGUUCCUUGGUGGGACUCAUUAACCCGUGUUGGGUGGCCAGGGAAGAAUGCCUUUGAGUCUCUCCCCACUCUGUGGGGGGCACCUCUGUAGUGAGAUGGAGAGGGGGGAAACAGGGUUGAGAGGAAAAGGCUCUCACCAGGGCAGGGCUGGGAAGGCAUGGCCAGACCCCGGUAGGACCCUCACCCUACUCCUGCCUGGAACAUUCCAGAGCCUGUCAGUCUCUCCCCCAGCCUGGCCCCCUCUCACUCCGAAGCCUUGGGUUUGUUUGGAGAAACCCCUCCACCCACACUCCCCCUUCCUGGAAAAUAGCUGUGGUUGGAUGAGAGGCUGGGAGCCCAGCCGCGGAGGAGGGGUGAGGCCCGGAGAAGGAGAGAGGGAGAGGCGGGAUAUAUGAGUGUGCCCUGAGGGAUCUAGAGAAUUGAGGGGAGAAGCAGAAGGGGGGCGGACGAGUGGGGCUGGAAAAGCGAAAUGGGCCUCAGUGUCCCAGAAAUGAAGUAGAAAAAGAAAACCCUCGCGACGCACGCUCCCGGGGCCGGGCCGGCAGCUCCCACCCAGGUCCGGGGCCCCGCGUGUGGGGGCAACGUGCGCCCCGUGGCGGCGAGUGCGCCGGAGACGCGCGAGGGCGGGACGGCCGUGUGACCGUGGGCCCCGCCCCGCCCCCUGCUCCCUUUCCCGGCUUCCCGUGGCCCCCGGCCCCGGCCCCAGUCCCCCACCGCCCCCCACCCCGGCGGCCNNNNNNNNNNNNNNNNNNNNNNNNNNNNNNNNNNNNNNNNNNNNNNNNNNNNNNNNNNNNNNNNNNNNNNNNNNNNNNNNNNNNNNNNNNNNNNNNNNNNNNNNNNNNNNNNNNNNNNNNNNNNNNNNNNNNNNNNNNNNNNNNNNNNNNNNNNNNNNNNNNNNNNNNNNNNNNNNNNNNNNNNNNNNNNNNNNNNNNNNNNNNNNNNNNNNNNNNNNNNNNNNNNNNNNNNNNNNNNNNNNNNNNNNNNNNNNNNNNNNNNNNNNAGGAGGCGGAGGAGGCGGGAGCGGGCGCCGCGCUCGCCUGGGCUCCCUCCCGCGCCCGCCGCGCCCCGCGCCCGCCCUCGCUCCCUCCCGCGCUGCUCUCCUCCCUCCUUCCCGGCUCCAAUCCCCACGUUCCCCCGCUCCCCGCCCCUCGGCCUCCUCCUUCUCCCUCUCGUCGUCCCCACCUUCUCCUGCGGGCCCACGCUCCCCGGGGCGAGGAGGGACGCGGAGACUGGCGGAGGGGCGCUCGGGGACAGGAAGAGACCGGGAUGGGGAGAGUGUGAGGAGGCGGACGCGCAGGACGCAGAGCCGAGAAACUCUCCGAGCCCCGGGGAGACUAACCGGCAGGACAGAGCAAGAAGCAAAACAAAACACAGGAACCAGACAGACGUAGAAGAAAAGCGGCCAUGGGUCCAGAAGGCGUUGGAAACAGCCUCUCAUCCGCCCCCUCCGCGGGGAGUAUUUGGGAUUGAGCCUGACCCCAAAGUCAGGACCCACCUACUCAAGGGGCGCCAGAUUCAGACAAAGAUACCUGCUGCCCCCUGUGUCCCCAGUCGCUGGACACUUCCCUAGUCCUCUGCCACAGGGGAGACGUCUAGGCCACCUCUUGUCUCCAAAGGACUCGAAGCUGAGGACCUCCACAUCAAGUUCAAGCUCCCACCCCCUAAGCAGCUCCAGUCAGCCCAUCAUCCAUCGCUCUGCUUUGGAACUGGACCUGGACCGUCAUUCCCACUCCCUGACUCUGCUUAUAAAGAAAGUCCUCCCUCCUCCUGUAUAACUCAAGUCACAGGUUUCCCAGUGGAGAUGGAAGUUCAUUCAGUCUGUGUUCUCAUCUCAUUCCCUUCUUUUCCAGGGUCGGGAUCUGAUACUGGUUAAAAACUAAUGGGCCCUGGGGGUGAUUUGAGUUGGGUCACCCUGGAGGAGAAGACAGAGGGAAGGGAUGUCUUUUCAGAAACUGAAUCUGCUCCCAUUCUCAGAUUCACCAGUGUUCUCUAGUAUUGAGUACUUCCUGGAACUCCCUCCUGCCCUCCCUCACCCUCCCCACUGAAUUUUCCAUGAUGAAAACUGGUGUGUGUUGGGGGUGUGGAUUCUGAGAAGCCAGUGCCCAGGGCUCAAUGUCCAGUGCCUGCUCAAGGCAGCCAGUACCACCAGCUGCAAAGCCCUCUGUCCCUCCCUGUCUCAGCUCCCAACUGGGUCGUCUCUGCUCAUCUUGCCUUUGGCAAAGGCUGGGAAGUCUGGUUCUGAUUCCAAUCUGGCGGCUGGGGGGAGAGGCACGGUGACAAUGCGGUCCCUCAGAGACUGGCAUUUGGAAGGGGUGGGUGUGGCUGGGACUGGGGAGGCUAGAGCUUACUGCUCUUGGCUGAGUUGGUGUCCAGUAGGUCGUCUCAAUCUCAGAGGUUAGAGCAGUGGGAACUGCUGGGAGCUGGAGGGAGGGCUGGGGGGGUUGGAAUGGGGUGCAGGAGGGAAGAGGUGGGGAGGCACUGGGAGGAGGGGAGAGGCAGGAGUUUUGGGUAAGCCCCAAGGAGAGUGACUGGGAUCAGAGGCUAGCGGGAAGGGGGCAGGGUUGAAGGUCAUUGUGUGUAUUUUGUUAAGAUUUGAUUAUGUAACUGAGACACAUGAGGCAUGAACAUUUGCUCAUUUCUUCGGAGUCUUAGCUAGUUUUUUAAAAAUCGUGUCCUUUCCAGAGUUCAUUAGGGUCUUUGGCUGGGUGCCUGGGAUGCCUGCCCUGCCGAAGGGGGUUAGUAGGUUCUAUUUUUUUUUUUUUUUUUUAAGUAAUCUCUACACCCUGCGUAGGGCUCGAACUCACUACCUUGAGAUCAAGAGUUGCAUGCUCUUCCUACUGAGCUAGCCAGAUACCCCAAGUUCUAAUGUUUAAAGGUACCAAGGAGAGACUGGUGCUCAGAGAAGAGGCACCUGAUUGGAUCUCAGAGAGGUAGGCAGGGCUUCAGCCUCACACUCAUGCUGGUGUGGUUGUCCCUAUGAGGAACUUUUGAGGUUUCAAGGAAUUGGGAGAGUCAUAAGAUGGGCAGCUGAACUUUCAGCUCAGACUUGAUUCCUGCUGUCAACCUGGGGACCAGGGGCUGAGGGGGCUGCAGGAGGGAAGCUGAUGAGGAAGGUUGAGAGUGAAAAAUUAUCCACAGGAGGUGGCUUGCUGGGAGUGCUGUAAACACGGGUGGCAUAUGGAGCCAGCCAGACAUCCUGACUACCAGUUCAGAGCAACAGAAGCUUCAGAAGGGAGGGGAAAGGGAGAAGGAAGACAGGAUGAUGUUAGCAAAGGUGAAACAGCAUUUCAGGAACAGUAUCAUGACCCCUUCUGACCCCUCCCUCCAUGCAGGUUUUCUUACCUUGACUAUGCAGAGGGCAGCCCAUCUUGGGACUGAAGGCUGGACCCCCUCUUCCAAGGUCUGGGGCGAUCCCAUGCCUGCGACUGAGUGUGCUCAGAUCCUUGGGGUGGGAGGGCUUUGAGGGGCAUGGGCUAUCCUGGCUGGGAGAGCACUGGGUCAGGAGGAUUUGAGUGGAGGGUUUGGGCACUGGGAACCAGGAAGAGCGGGGGAAGGGGCAGAGCUCACUCCAGAGGCGGAUCUGCUGGCCAGGACAGAGGACAGAGGGUGUAUUGUCCAACCGGGAGGUUGCUGCAGCUGGGUGUGGAGCAGCACAGCUCGCCUCUUCCAAACUCCUUUCUGGGGAGGCGGGAGGGUGAGGGAAGUCGAGUCCCCCCCCUUCACUUGUGGCCCUGGGGGCUAUGACGGUUGCCAGGAAACAAGGUUUUAUUUGAGAAAUAAUGCUUCCCAGGAGCAGAUGUGUAGCUCUCCCACUUCCUGAGAAACCAGAUGCUGUGAGCUUGCUUAGCACUUUAGGGGACGCCUUUGGCACUAACUGGGACCCUCAUUGCCUUGGGAUCCAGAGCCUGGUGCUUUAUUCUGUUUAGAAGAAUCUAAGCUACGUGGACUUAACUCAGGAUCCGAGCAGCCUAGAAGUGACCCUUGUAAAGUCGGAUGCUAUACCUGUACCCUUCUGGUCAUUCAAGAUUUACGGCAGGUUGACAGGGCGCACCGGUCCUGGGAUCUACUUCUGAAGAUGGGGGUUGUACCAGCGCCUACCUUUCCCUUGGAUUUCAAGUACCCUCUUGGGACACAGUACAGGGAGCUCCUUCUUUACCCUUCCUGUGCCCAACCAACAUGAAUCUCUCUGAAGUUAGCCUUUCCCACUCGUAUUCUUUUAUUUUUUGAGGUGGGGAGAGGAGGGAGAGCGCGUGCCAGCUGGGGAGGGGCAGACAGAGGAGAGAAUCCCAAGCAGGCUCUGUGCUCCACCCCACAAACCAUGAGAUCAUGACCUGAGCCGAAAGCCGGACUGGGCCACCCAGGCGCCCCUAGUCUCCUUUCCAUCGUCAUUUACCCAGCCUCUGGCGAGUGGCUGGAAAUGAGGGCUUGGAGAAAGUGGCAGACCGAUGCGGGCAGUGGAGGUGGGUUCCACAGGCAGCCUGGGCAGCGGCCUGUUUCCUUCCCACCUAAAAGCUUCCUUUCCCACACGGAAAGCUGAGGCAGCACAGCAUGCUGAGCCUCUUACCCCUCCACAUCUGAAGAGAUCAGUGCACCGUCAAGAACCACAACUGCAGUUGCUGCGAUGGGCCUAGGAAAGCCACUUGUGUAGCUGGGCUCCCGUGCCAGCACCCCCCCCCCCCCCCCAAUCUUCCCCCAAAUUGUUGACUGAGCUUUCCUGGGCUUUCUCUGCUUCACCCCAUUGUGACCUUAAGGAUUCUCUGCCACGGUCCUAACCUCUUUCCUGCCUUGCAACACGGAACAGCCCAUCUCUAGCCAUUUGGAAACUUCCCACCGCAUCUGGGGCCUCCGUUGUAACCCAGACCAGCUCAUCAACAAGAACCCAGCCUGCCUGUGCCAUGUAGCACGGAAUGUGGAGGCAGUGCCUCUGCAGACUGCUGAGUGGAGGGUGGAGGCACGGCCUCCAGGCCAUGAAGUAGGAAAUGGACUGCAGGUACUUUCAAAUAUUAAAGGUUACCACCAGGCCAAAAUGCUGGAGGGGAGUGGAUGCUAAUUCCCAGUUCUUGGGCCUCAGUAAAGAUUCCCCUGGUAACCCCACCCCUAGCCCAGGACAGUCUCUAAUGCCCAGAGGACUUCAGAGACAGGGGUGGGGAGCCUGUAAAGGCACAGGAGUGGAGUAUAUGGUCAAAAGAAUUUCAGCAUUGAAGUGAACUUUAAAGAUCAGAUUUAUUUGGAGAAAACAAACAAAAAAAACCCCACAACCCAAAGGAUGGGAUUUUACAUCUCAAGACAUCUCCCAGGUAUUAAGUCUACAGAUUACAAAUCAUUUUCAUAGAAGAUAUUUUGUACAAAUUUUACACGUAUUAAGGAGCGGGACAUAACCCGUUUCUGUUAUAACGGGGGCAGGAGAGGGGAAUGGGAAAAAAAAAAAGUUUUGGAGACAACUAUUUGGAAGUAGACUUGUAGAGGGCAAACCCUACCUUUUCAUCAUCUACAGCAAAUGGUUUGUUUUUUUCAACCAAAAAAAAAAACCCGAAAAACAAAAAAACCCCAACCAAACAAACCCCUUUCAGCCUUGGGUAUCUCUAAAAGCCACUUCCCGGCUACUGGCCAAUCCAAGCCAAUUAUUUAGUUACUUCACUUGGUAAGCCUCUCUAUGUCCACUGGCUAAACGAUUCAUUCAUUAUGCCCACUGCUGCAGCACUCCUAAACCAACAGGUCUGCGUGGCCAGACAGGGUCUAAUCUAGGACCGAUGGGUGAAGGGCUUGUGAACGAGAGACUGAGAUCACCCCGAAGGAUGCCGUCUACCGGGCUGACGGUACAAAGGUGCACGUAAAAGCAGGCAAGUUAAGCUAUUGUGUUGCAAGAGAAACCAGGACCUUGUCACACAGUUCUCUCCAUUAUCAUUUAUUCUCUCAAGGGAAGCUAAAAAAACAAAAAAACAACAAAGAAACACAAACCCACCAAAGAACCACACAUUGGUUGAGGCCACAUUAUCAAUCCAAACAUUGGUGUGGGAUUUCAAUGGAGAGAAGGAAACUUGUAAAAACAAAAAAAGCCCCAAUCAAGGUCAUAAGAACGGCUCACAAUUUGACCCUAUUUAUCCACCCUCACUCACCACCUAAGACCAUUAAUUCUAUAAUCUUCUGAGGUGUAAAAGGAGUCAAAGAAGUAGGAGCAGGAAUGGAGGAGGGAAGGAGUGAGAGUCAAAAGACAUGAAGGAGCCAAGAUUUGCUUGAGAAAAGCAGUGAUUCCUCAUUAGCUUCUGCUCCCUGGGGCGGGUCUAGAAUGCCUAGAUCAGGUAUGUGAUUUAAAUAGAAGCUGCUUUCUGGGAGGUGACAGCAAAAAGUAGCAUUAAGAUCAGAAGCCCAGGACAAGAGUCUACAUUUUUAAAGCUUCAAGAUUUCAGCAGAAUGUAGAUGGAUGUGAACUUUCAGGAAGGAUGGCGUUUAAGGAAGGGCAAAACCAGGACAUACAAGACUUGGGAAUUCCCAUGACCCAUAAGUGCUUCCUGCUCCAGGAAGUAACCACUUGGUGUUUACUGAAGGUCAUACCAUUUCCCCUUAUUACUGGUGCAAAAUAAUCCAUCACCUCCCCGCAGCUUCUUUUCAAACCACAACUUUUCCCACUUAUUUUGGUCACUGAGCAGUCCUUAUUCUUUUGUGGCCUAUAGACUCACUCUCCACUACCCCCCUGGGGGGUAAAAAUGAAGGAAUUCCCCCUAGGCUGGCCCCAGUAACUCAGAAUUAAGAGGGGCUGGCAGCCUCCUGGAGACUAAAAAACAACUUGAGAGACUAAGCCUACCUUUCCGAGGAUGGAAAAUUUAUUCAGGUAAUGUUUGAGAAUUCAUAUGUGCCACAAUAGGAUAUUAAGAAUGAAAAGAUAGAACUCUCACUCUUCCUUAAACCUGUCCUACUGCCCAACCAGAUCCAGACACUGCAUCACUGUCACUGCCAUUUUGCUAAACGGAGGCCCCCAGGCACUAAUCACACAGGCAACUGCAUGUGUCGUAAAAAUGCACAACUUUUCCAUUAAAAGCUGUACGUCUCUUUCUCUCUGGCUACAUUGGCGAUUCUCCAGUUAGUUCAAUACUUUAAAGGCUGCAGCAGCAUGCAAAAGAAUUUCAUUUCAUUUUGUUUUUUUGUUUUUUGUUUUUUUAAAAAAAAGUUAAGAAAGGUCUCCAGGAGAUGGUGAGUUUUAUUGUCUGGAUAGAGGUUUGAUUUGCUCUCGAAUGUUCCAGGGUGGAGAGACUAGGAGAAAGCACAGGAUGCAGAGGUCUAUUCGGUGUAAUCUUCUCCCUCGUUCUCAUCUUCGCCAUCAACGGAGAGAGCAGCAUACUUGCUUGCAGAACUGAACUUCUGGAAUAGACGAGUGAGAAAAUCACCAAAGCCUUGAACUCGCACAUCAAAACCCAAGAAACAGGACAAUGAUACUUGGGCAAAAGCAAAAGGGAGGGGCCAGGUCAAGCCCACCUCCUUGUUCAUUAGCAUUUUACACUGGCCAGGAGUAGCUAGGGAGGCUAGGCCAGAGGCCCAGGUGUUCUUACAGGAGACCUCCACCUCCUUUUAUCUUGGAGGGGGAGUAAGAGUAGUGAGACUGCAAGGCAGAAAACUGGAAAAAACUAAGUUUCUUUUACAAUUUCAAACAAGCAACGAUGCCUGAUUGACAAUUUCCAACCACUCGGAUUCCAGCCCCAAGCAUAAAGGAGUUCAAUGGCAAACGUGAGCUGAGAGAAAUCCAUUAGCAUCUAACACUUACGGAAGCUGGAUUUUCUUCAGGUUUCUUUGGCUCAGGUGCAGAUCGGGAG